rnacentral:rRNA from 1 species
AAGUCGAACGGGAAACCUUUUAUUGAAGCUUCGGCAGAUUUAGCUGGUUUCUAGUGGCGGACGGGUGAGUAACGCGUGGGUAACCUGCCUUAUACAGGGGGAUAACAACCAGAAAUGGUUGCUAAUACCGCAUAAGCGCACAGGACCGCAUGGCCCGGUGUGAAAAACUCCGGUGGUAUAAGAUGGACCCGCGUUGGAUUAGCUAGUUGGCAGGGUAACGGCCUACCAAGGCGACGAUCCAUAGCCGGCCUGAGAGGGUGAACGGCCACAUUGGGACUGAGACACGGCCCAGACUCCUACGGGAGGCAGCAGUGGGGAAUAUUGCACAAUGGGGGAAACCCUGAUGCAGCGACGCCGCGUGAAGGAAGAAGUAUCUCGGUAUGUAAACUUCUAUCAGCAGGGAAGAUAGUGACGGUACCUGACUAAGAAGCCCCGGCUAACUACGUGCCAGCAGCCGCGGUAAUACGUAGGGGGCAAGCGUUAUCCGGAUUUACUGGGUGUAAAGGGAGCGUAGACGGACUGGCAAGUCUGAUGUGAAAGGCGGGGGCUCAACCCCUGGACUGCAUUGGAAGCUGUUAGUCUUGAGUGCCGGAGAGGUAAGCGGAAUUCCUAGUGUAGCGGUGAAAUGCGUAGAUAUUAGGAGGAACACCAGUGGCGAAGGCGGCUUACUGGACGGUAACUGACGUUGAGGCUCGAAAGCGUGGGGAGCAAA